UCCGUCUCUAAGUUAGAGACGGAUUUUAGAAAUCCGUCUCUAAGUUAGAGACGGAUUUAAGAAAUCCGUCUCUAAUUUAGGGACGGAUUUUAAAAAUCCGUCUCUAAAUUUAUUUAGAGACGGAUUUUU
rnacentral:snoRNA from 1 species